AUAUCAAUAAGCGGAGGAAAAGAGACCAACAGGGAUUGCCUCAGUAACGGCGAGUGAAGCGGGAAAAGCUCAAUGUUAAAAUCUCCGAGGGGAACUUCGGCGAAUUGUAGUUUAGAGAAGUGUUUUCUGGGGUGGGCAGCGAUCUAAGUUUCCUUGGAAAAGGGCGCCAUUGAGGGUGAGAGCCCCGUUUGUGGUUGCCUGCUGCACUCCUAUACGAGGCACUUUCGAAGAGUCGGGUUGUUUGGGAAUGCAGCCCAAAAUGGGUGGUAAAUUUCAUCUAAAGCUAAAUACGGGCACGAGACCGAUAGCGAACAAGUACCGUGAGGGAAAGAUGAAAAGCACUUUGAAAAGAGAGUCAAAUAGUACGUGAAACCGUUAAAAGGGAAGCGAUUGGAGCUAGCAGUGCGGCCAUGGCAAUCAGCUUUCGGGGUGCUGGGCUGUGUGUUUGUAGAGCGCAAGCCUACAGGUGCGCAGCAACUGGUGUCUCGGGAGUGCACUUGUUGUGGUUGCGGGUCAACAUCGGUUCUCUGUGCGAGGGACGGGGGUACGGAAGGUGGCCCUCUCCGGGGGGCGUUACAGCCGUGCCUUCACGUCGCGCGGGGGACCGAGGGUGUCGCAG
rnacentral:rRNA from 1 species